AGUCGAGCGGACAGAUGGGAGCUUGCUCCCUGAUGUUAGCGGCGGACGGGUGAGUAACACGUGGGUAACCUGCCUGUAAGACUGGGAUAACUCCGGGAAACCGGGGCUAAUACCGGAUGGUUGUUUGAACCGCAUGGUUCAGACAUAAAAGGUGGCUUCGGCUACCACUUACAGAUGGACCCGCGGCGCAUUAGCUAGUUGGUGAGGUAACGGCUCACCAAGGCAACGAUGCGUAGCCGACCUGAGAGGGUGAUCGGCCACACUGGGACUGAGACACGGCCCAGACUCCUACGGGAGGCAGCAGUAGGGAAUCUUCCGCAAUGGACGAAAGUCUGACGGAGCAACGCCGCGUGAGUGAUGAAGGUUUUCGGAUCGUAAAGCUCUGUUGUUAGGGAAGAACAAGUGCCGUUCAAAUAGGGCGGCACCUUGACGGUACCUAACCAGAAAGCCACGGCUAACUACGUGCCAGCAGCCGCGGUAAUACGUAGGUGGCAAGCGUUGUCCGGAAUUAUUGGGCGUAAAGGGCUCGCAGGCGGUUUCUUAAGUCUGAUGUGAAAGCCCCCGGCUCAACCGGGGAGGGUCAUUGGAAACUGGGGAACUUGAGUGCAGAAGAGGAGAGUGGAAUUCCAC
rnacentral:rRNA from 1 species